rnacentral:rRNA from 1 species
AGCUCCAAUAGCGUAUAUUAAUGUUGUUGCAGUUAAAAAGCUCGUAGUUGGAUUUCUGGUCGGGUCGCCUGGCUGGCUCCGCAAGGGGUCAUGCAUUGGCUGUAUUCGUCCAUCCUCAGGGGAACUAGCGCUGGUAUUCAUUUAUUGGUGUUAGGACGCCUGUCGUUUACUGUGAACAAAUUAGAGUGUUCAAAGCAAGGUGUACUUGAAUACAUUAGCAUGGAAUAAUAAGAUAGGACUUUGGUGGUUCUUUUUUAGAUAUUUUGUUGGUUUGCACGCCAAAGUAAUGAUUAAUAGGAGCAGUUGGGGGUAUUCGUAUUCAAUUGUCAGAGGUGAAAUUCUUGGAUUUAUAGAAGACGAACUACUGCGAAAGCAUUUACCAAGGAUGUUUUCA